UGUGUGUGUGUGUGUGUGUGUGUGUGUGUGUGUGUGUGUGUGUGUGUGUGUGUGUGUGUGUGUGUGUGUGUGUGUGUGUGUGUGUGUGUGUGUGUGUGCAGUGAAUCCUGAUGUGAUGAUGAUAAUAAUAUUGUGUGCAGUAUAGAAAUUGACAGUGGAUGUUUUUCUCUCUGUGACCAACCUGUAAGAUGUUUAUGUGAAGAUUAUUUAUUGUGUGUGUGUGUGUGUGUGUGUGUGUGUGUGUGUGUGUGAGUGUGAGAGAGAGUGAUAAACCUGAAAAUUGUUCUCUAAAUGAUUUAAUGUUAUAAUAGAAUGAUAAAUUAAACGGAACAAAAGUU